CAGACCAACAAUGAUACCUCGACUCCAAACAUUUCAGCAGAUUGUCCAAGCGGGUUCGCAGAUGGAGUAGCAUCAUGCCAAUCUAUGGAUGACUCCUGCCACGAUGUUCUUACCAGACAAGCAACAGCUCUUGUAUUGACUGCAAGAGAGAAACAUCGUCUUUCACAGAGUGGUGUGAAUGAUGUCGUUGCAGCAUUACAACAGUAUCAGGCAUCGUUGGUCAAUAAUCUGAGAAGUCAGGUACAAAAGGUUUUCCAGCAGCAUCAUGGAAGUGGACUUGAAAAAGAUGUUUUGGCAGUG